AGUUGUGGCUUAAUGGUAGAGGGCCUGCCUAGCAUGUGUGAGGCACUGGGUUCGAAUCUCAGAACUG
rnacentral:tRNA from 1 species